CAAAGCGAGUUAUACGUUAUACGUCGUGGGCUUUCUCCUCUCGCAUUGAUCUUUGAUGCGUUCGCAACAAAUAAUAGGGAUCUAAUAGAACAAACUGGUAAUGAAGGAGGUUCUUAAGGAGAAACCGAAUUUUACGGCCUUAAGAUCGUAUCAAGCCAAAAAAUUGAAAAAUUAAUUGAAAGAAUUGGAGAAGGAUCCAGAAGAAAAUAAAAUAUAUUUUUUUAUUUUUUACUUAUAAUAAGUAUUUCUUCAUAUUAUCGAGUUCAAUAUCGUUAAUAAUUUAAUAUUAUAAAAUGUUUUCUUUUUGUUAAUAACUUUAUUGCUGAUAAUGAAUUAUCUACAUGUAUAGAGCAAUGUAGCCUACAUUAUAUUGGUCCCUAUAUAUACAAUAAUUACUAUGUAUAAAAUAUCUUGUAUAUUAAAACAUUGGAGAAGCGAAAUCUAUAAUUUGGAUUCCGAAA